AACGAACGCUGGCGGCAGGCUUAACACAUGCAAGUCGAACGCCCCGCAAGGGGAGUGGCAGACGGGUGAGUAACGCGUGGGAAUCUACCGUGCCCUGCGGAAUAGCUCCGGGAAACUGGAAUUAAUACCGCAUACGCCCUACGGGGGAAAGAUUUAUCGGGGUAUGAUGAGCCCGCGUUGGAUUAGCUAGUUGGUGGGGUAAAGGCCUACCAAGGCGACGAUCCAUAGCUGGUCUGAGAGGAUGAUCAGCCACAUUGGGACUGAGACACGGCCCAAACUCCUACGGGAGGCAGCAGUGGGGAAUAUUGGACAAUGGGCGCAAGCCUGAUCCAGCCAUGCCGCGUGAGUGAUGAAGGCCUUAGGGUUGUAAAGCUCUUUCACCGAUGAAGAUAAUGACGGUAGUCGGAGAAGAAGCCCCGGCUAACUUCGUGCCAGCCGCCGCCGUAA
rnacentral:rRNA from 1 species